UACGAAGGGGGCGAGCGUUGUUCGGAUUUACUGGGCGUAAAGGGCGCGUAGGCGGCCCUCUUUGUCGCGUGUGAAAGCCCCGGGCUCAACCUGGGAAUUGCGCGCGAAACGGGGGGACUUGAGUUCGGGAGAGGAGCGUGGAAUUCCCAGUGUAGAGGUGAAAUUCGUAGAUAUUGGGAAGAACACCGGUGGCGAAGGCGGCGCUCUGGACCGAGACUGACGCUGAGGCGCGAAAGCGUGGGGAGCAAACAGG
rnacentral:rRNA from 1 species